rnacentral:rRNA from 1 species
UGGGGAAUAUUGGACAAUGGGCGCAAGCCUGAUCCAGCCAUGCCGCGUGAGUGACGAAGGUCUUCGGAUUGUAAAGCUCUUUUAGCAGGGAAGAUAAUGACGGUACCUGCAGAAUAAGCCCCGGCUAACUUCGUGCCAGCAGCCGCGGUAAUACGAAGGGGGCUAGCGUUGUUCGGAAUUACUGGGCGUAAAGCGCACGUAGGCGGAUUGAUAAGUUAGAGGUGAAAUCCCGGGGCUCAACCUGGGAACUGCGUUUGUGACUGUGUUGCUAGAGUGUAGCAGAGGGGGGUGGAAUUCCACGUGUAGCAGUGAAAUGCGUAGAGAUGUGGAGGAACACCGAUGGCGAAGGCAGCCCCCUGGGUUAACACUGACGCUCAUGCACGAAAGCGUGGGGAGCAAACAGGAUUAGAUACCCGUGUAGUCCCUGAGCGGGCUGGCAAGGCGCAU